rnacentral:rRNA from 1 species
AAACUUCAAUGCAGUCGAGGGGCAGCGGGGAGGUACAAUACUUCCGCCGGCGACCGGCGCACGGGUGAGUAACACCUAUGGAACCUGCCCGUAGCAGGGGGGAUAAGCGGAAGAAAUUCCGUCUAAUACCGCGUAAUAACUCCGAGAGGCAUCUCAUGGGGUUUAAAGGGUGACACCGGCUACGGAUGGCCAUGCGGCGCAUUAGCUAGUUGGCGGGGUAACGGCCCACCAAGGCGACGAUGCGUAGGGGUUCUGAGAGGAAGGUCCCCCACACUGGUACUGAGACACGGACCAGACUCCUACGGGAGGCAGCAGUGAGGAAUAUUGGUCAAUGGGCGCGAGCCUGAACCAGCCAAGUCGCGUGAGGGAAGACGGUCCUAUGGAUUGUAAACCUCUUUUGUCGGGGAGCAAAAGACGCCACGUGUGGCGUUCCGAGAGUACCCGAAGAAAAAGCAUCGGCUAACUCCGUGCCAGCAGCCGCGGUAAUACGGAGGAUGCGAGCGUUAUCCGGAUUUAUUGGGUUUAAAGGGUGCGCAGGCGGAAGAUCAAGUCAGCGGUAAAAUUGAGAGGCUCAACCUCUUCGAGCCGUUGAAACUGGUUUUCUUGAGUGAGCGAGAAGUAUGCGGAAUGCGUGGUGUAGCGGUGAAAUGCAUAGAUAUCACGCAGAACUCCGAUUGCGAAGGCAGCAUACCGGCGCUCAACUGACGCUCAUGCACGAAAGUGUGGGUAUCGAACAGGAUUAGAUACCCU